AAUGAACCUGUGAAGAUAUAGAAGCAAGGAGGAGUGGAGCAGUUGGAAAUAGUCUAUGAACUUGAAAAGGUUGGUUCCUGGCAAGGCCCAGAGCCCUUCAUUUAGAGAAGCAGGCACAACUGAAGAGAGGAAGAUGGUCCUGGCUGCCCAUGGACCCUCUGACCUUGAACCCUCAUAGCAGCUCCAGGGCAGUUAUUCCAAGGGUCAGGGAUUCCAAGAAGUUUUGCAGAGCGGGAGGAAGACAGAGCAUGAGGACAUCCUGGAAACUGCUUGCCCUUUGUGAUCUAGAGGAGAAAGAGAGACUGAAGCACGGAAUAACUUGUUUUAU
rnacentral:lncRNA from 1 species